CCCUGACUCAGCAAACCACCGAGAGGUGAAGACCUCCUAUUUUCCUAGAGAGAACAGGAGGGCGUGGGAGACACGGGGGCGGGGUGGGCGGGACAAAGGCCCGACCCGGAAGCGAAACGGAGAGAACUUCCGUUCUUUGUUCUGUUCCCGGUGUGUGGGUCUGUGACAGGGUCCCACAGGGCCUGGUCCGUGUCCGGCCCCGCAAACUCCCGUCCCUGCCCCCAGGUCAGGAUCCCAAGGAACUUGACAAGAGGCUGCCAAAUUUCCCAAUAAUUGCUACUCUGGCCUUCUAGGGACUAACUCCAAAGAAGGAAGGAAAGAAUCCAGCAGCACUUCCUCAUUCUCGUUCAAAACCUGCUUCCUGCCAAGUCUGCAAGUAGGAGAC
rnacentral:lncRNA from 1 species